rnacentral:rRNA from 1 species
UACGGAGGAUCCGAGCGUUAUCCGGAUUUAUUGGGUUUAAAGGGUGCGUAGGCGGCCAUUUAAGUCAGGGGUGAAAGACGGUAGCUCAACUAUCGCAGUGCCUUUGAUACUGAAUGGCUUGAGUGUACUUGAGGUAGGCGGAAUGUGACAAGUAGCGGUGAAAUGCAUAGAUAUGUCACAGAGCACCAAUUGCGAAGGCAGCUUACUAAAGUAUGAUUGACGCUGAGGCACGAAAGCGUGGGGAUCAAACAGG